CGGCCAUGUUUGAGAGCGACUUUGUCCAGGUGACCCCAGGCAGGCCAGUGGGCCCAGCUGGGGGAGGGCUGGGAGAUGAGAUGGGGGAGGGCUGGUCCUGGACACCCAGCACGCCAGAGUCCCCUGGGUUGCUUCCUUAGAUCAGAGCCCAGACUUUUCGGGAGGAGCACCCCGGGGAGCCUAGUGGAAGUGGAAGGGCAGCCGAGCGUCACCAUCCGGACCCUCUUCAGACGUAUUUCCAGCACUCUAAGCCGGUCCAAGGUACUAGGGAGGCUGGGACUGACUGUCAGGCCAGCUGGGCCCGGCCCAGAGGCCCGGCGUGACUCCUCCCCCCUGCCCUUGCCAGGCUGCCUCACCAGCGGAGACGUCCUCUUCAGGGCCCUCCAGGCCACCCUCCCAAGAGCACCCCCAGGAGAGGGGCACUGCCAACAACAUUUGGAGCUUGUGUAGGCAUGACUUAGACAGAAAAGGGGACACAACACGCAGAUUAGGGGAGCACAGAACAGCCUGCCUCUUAGACCUAGAAAGGUCUCGUGUCUCAAAUGACGAGAGAAUUGGUUUGCAAACUGUAAGGACUGAAUACUAUUUCUACCCAGAUAUUAUAUAUUUUAUAAGGUUUAUGGGAAAGGGUAGACAGCCAUUCCUGUAAGUAACCUGACCACGUGGGCCCUAGCCUGCAAGCCUCUUCCUCCUUCCCUUCACCUGUUCCCGGCUUCUUCCUAACUCCUUCUCUUCUCAGUUCUCUCCCUCUCAAGCCCCAAAGCCUCGACUUUUCUUGACCUACCGUAGCAUGUAGAGGGACCGAACCUGGCACAACUGUAUUAUCUCAGGAAUGUUUGAUGGACGGGUCAAGUGACUCAGAAGGGGGAGGGAAUGAACUUCCUUGACACAAAACAUACAAGAAGACAAGUCAUUCCCCAAUUGAUAAAUGGUCAAAGAAGAAGGUCAGGGAGGUUUGGAAGAACUCCAAGGGAUCUAGAAUCAUGGGAAAAACUGUUCCUCAAUCACUGCUGAUUAGAGAAAUGCACAUUAAGACACCUCUGAGGUAUCACCUCACACUUAACAGAAAUGACAAACACUGGAGGGAGUAAUGGAAAAAUAGGUAAACUAAGGAACUGCUGAUGAAGGAGCCAACGGAUCUAACCAAUUUGGAGAACAGUUUGAAACCAGGCCCAAAGGGCCAUCAAACAGCAUAUCCUUUGACUCAGUGAUACCACUCCUGGGUCUGUAUCCCAAAGACAUCAGAGAGAAUGGAAAAAGAAAACAACCCAUGUGGACACAAAUAUUUCUAGCAGCUCUUUUUGUGGUGGCAAAGAACUGGAAACUGAAGGGGUGUCCAUCAACUGGGGAAUGGCUGAACUAAUUGUGGUAAAUGAUGGCGAUGGAAUCCCGUUGUGGGUUUUAAAAAAUUUUUUUACCUUCUGCCUUAGAAUAGAUACUCCAUCUAGCAUGUUUCUUUGCUUCUGUCCUUGCACUUAUAAGAUGGAGCUAGUGCAUUUGGUCAGCUAACUGCUUCACAGAGUGUUAAAUUUAUUAAGAUUAGCAAAGUUUCAAGCUAGAUAGCACAGUAGAUAGAGUCAAGCCUAGACUAGGCUGGAGGUCCUAGGUUCAAAUCUGGCCUCAGACACUUCCUAGCUAUGUGUCCCUGGGCAAGUCACUUCACCCUGUAAGAAAACCCUCUGAGGACAGAUAAUAUACCAGAGGUGAAAGCGGGGAGAGGCAAAGAUGGGCACCUCAAAAUUUGGGGUACUUGAGGUUACAGAGAACCUCCCCCAAAAACCCCAUACUCUCUUCCGGGGCCUCUCACUCUUACAAAGAUAUCUGACUGCGUUAUUUAACUAAAGAUGAAUUUAAUAACAAGUUUGGAUUGGGAAGGUAUCAGGGUAGAGGGAAUAGGGAUUUCCCUAUACUUUGUCACAGAUGGGGUUUGAGUCUCUCUCAGCUUUUUGAACUGAGGUCAGGCCUCACAGGCUGGUGAAGGGUUUCUUUUAUUCCUGUCUAUGCUAAUCUAUGCUAGAUUUCUUAAAUUCAAAGUCUUUAGCAAUAGACAGCAAGAGGAAGAAAAUAGUCUGACUUUCAGAGCUGGUUGGGCCUGUCUCUUCAGGCUAGCACCCCUACAGACAGGCCUUAAGUUCCAGCUGCUCCCCUUAAAUCCCUUUGCUUGAUGACACGAUCCAUAGGAAUCCAGGUAGAGCACACAGUUGGGAAAAAUCUACAAAUAGAGGUACUUCUAUCCCGAGACAAGGAGAAAGCAUUCUUUCUAGUCCAAUGGCCAGGAAAGAGUCCCCUCAAGAGCAACUGUCACUCUCCAAGUCUCCCCCAACCCCCUCCAACUGCCUUCGCUGUCAAUAUCUUCACUCUAACAUUCCAACUUCUGUCUGCUCCACCUCAGUGACAGAAAUUCCAAAGCUUAAUUCAGUUUUCCUUUCCACAAUCCCCAUUUUUUUGUUGUGACCGUCCCAAGGUCACUUAUAUUUAUUAUGCUUACCAAGCUACUAAAUCUACUUUCUACCUACUCCCCCUAUUCUAUGCUAAUCUUAUCUAAUCUAAGGAAUUUUAUGCAGGAAAGUUUUGGGUAAGGGGGUAGUUUUGGGGUUUUACAAUAAAUUCAGUACAAUAAAUGUUUGAACA
ensembl:lncRNA